GCACUCUUAUAAAAAAAUAAUUCAAACUAUUACUAGUUACUAAACAUAGGUGCUGACCUCAUUAUUUGUAAUUAGGCCAUACUUAUUUCAAUUCCAUUUUGUUAAUUUUUUUUUUAGUAUAGUAUUUUAUCAGGGUAUCAAAAGUACACUUUAGAGGCGCUUAUGUGUUAAAUCGCAUCACUUGAUGUAUCACAUCAAGAUAAUUUUAAUAAACAUGUCACCAAAAAUUUGUUGAAGAAUCGUCACCCACAGAAAAUGAAAAAAUUCAUGUUAAAAAAAAGAACACAAAAGCAACUAUUAUAUAUAUGAGGUGGUGAGGUGCCUCAGAUUAGAAUAAUGAUGAAGAUUCGCUGACUGAUUGAAUUGAAACUGAUUGUUAAUGAGAAUAUUAUGUGUUUUUAUAUAUAAUUUUCGAGAUAUUUACGCUGGGCACCAUGGUUAAUUUUAAUCGAAAAAAAAAGGGCACCGCCGAAAGA